rnacentral:rRNA from 1 species
AUUGAACGCUGGCGGCAUGCUUUACACAUGCAAGUCGAACGGUAACAGGCCGCAAGGUGCUGACGAGUGGCGAACGGGUGAGUAAUGCAUCGGAACGUGCCCAGUCGUGGGGGAUAACGCAGCGAAAGCUGCGCUAAUACCGCAUACGAUCUAUGGAUGAAAGCGGGGGACCGUAAGGCCUCGCGCGAUUGGAGCGGCCGAUGUCAGAUUAGGUAGUUGGUGGGGUAAAGGCUCACCAAGCCAACGAUCUGUAGCUGGUCUGAGAGGACGACCAGCCACACUAGGACUGAGACACGGCGCAGACUCCUCCGGGAGGCAGCAGUGGGGAAUUUUGGACAAUGGGCGCAAGCCUGAUCCAGCAAUGCCGCGUGCAGGAAGAAGGCCUUCGGGUUGUAAACUGCUUUUGUACGGAACGAAACGGUCUGGGUUAAUACCUCGGGCUAAUGACGGUACCGUAAGAAUAAGCACCGGCUAACUACGUGCCAGCCGCCGCCGUAA